UACAGAGGGUGCAAGCGUUGCUCGGAAUUAUUGGGCGUAAAGCGCGCGUAGGCGGUUACUCAAGUCGGAUGUGAAAGCCCUCGGCUUAACUGAGGAAGUGCACCCGAAACUGAGUAGCUAGAGUACUAAAGAGGGUCGCGGAAUUCCCGGUGUAGAGGUGAAAUUCGUAGAUAUCGGGAGGAACACCGGUGGCGAAGGCGGCGACCUGGGUAGAUACUGACGCUGAGGCGCGAAAGCGUGGGGAGCAAACAGG
rnacentral:rRNA from 1 species